GACAGCGAGAGGGGCCUGGGGAGCGUCCUGGCCUCGCUGGGGCCCAGCCUUCCCGAGGCUUUGCGCGUCCGAAGGGCCUGCGCCUUAUGGGAACAGCAGCGACUUGCUGCUCAUUACCAACUCCGUGUGUCACUCAGUUUGCGGAGACCGAGGGCCCAGACCCUCGUUUUCCGCCCAGCUUACAGAAGCCCAGAGACAUCUCUCCCCCCCCCUCCCCCUGCCCUUGAACCCAGAGAGCGUGUAAGGAGGAGAGAAGCCUGCCUUGUAGCCUGCUCCAGCCCACUCUGUCUGCCCUACUGCCCAUGGGCAUGAGGACAAGUUCUGGAAGUCCCCUCUAAGAGCCGAUCACCUGCCUGAGCCACAGCAACAGGGUGGAGUUGGGCUUACAAGGGGCUGACACCUGAUAUCCCAGGCACAGAUCACUUACAGGUUUACCAGUUGGGAACACGAAGACAUGCAAUUUAAACACUGCUCCAUCUCGUAAGAAAAAAAGAGGUCACCAGAGCGGUGGGGGAAGUGGGCACGGAGCUCUCCCAAGUGACCGGGACACAGAGCGAUUGGCUGUCCUUGUUUAAAGAAGAAAAUUGAAGGAAAAUGGUCAACUCAAUGAAGAGGAAGGUGAAGGAGGAGGAGAGAAGGUGAUGAAGGAGCUGAUUACACCAAGUAACAAACCCAAGAAACAGAAAACAGCCUUGUGCUUGCUUCUGGGGUGGGUGGAGAAGUGGCCCAGCUUCCCUCACCACCACGCCACCCUCUUGACUCCCUUGUUGUAUGUCUUGAGACACUGAGAUCCCCAGCCAGCAAGCAAGUAUAUUCCCUAUACAAAGGCAAGAAAGCGGAUCUAAGUAUGGGAUGGAGAACUGGGUCCCUAUCUCCUUUUUUGAAGGUAUAACAUACCUGCAAUAAACUGCACCCAUUUUAAGUUUAAAAUGUGAUACCUUUUGACAACUGUGCAAAACAUUUCCAUCACUCCAAAAAGUUCCCCUGUGCCUUUUGCAGUCUGUCACCUCCCCCUCCCCAGCCACUGGCACCCACAGAUCUAAUUUAUGUUCCUGUUUUGCCUUUUCCAGAAAGUCAUAAAAACGAAGUUGUACAGGACAUAGCCCUUUGUGUCUGGCUUUUUACACUUAGAAUAAUGCUUUUUAGAUUUGUCCACACUGUUGCGUGCAUCUAUAGUUUGUUUCUUUCUAUUGCUGAGUGUUCCAUUGUAUGGAGACAGUACAAUUUGUUUAUCCAUCUGUCAGUUGAUGGACAUUGGGGUUGUUUCCAGCUUUCAGUGAUUAUGAAUAAAGCUGCAUUCAAGUCAUUGUUUAGACAUGCUUUCGUCUCUCUCAGGUAAAUACCUAGGAGUGGGGUUGUUGAGUCCUAUGUAAGUGUAUGCUUAACUUCAGAAGAAACUGCCCAACUGCUUUACAAUGGCUGGACCAUUUUGCAUUCCCACCAACAAUGUAUAAAAGACCAGCUGCAGAUGGCUAUAAUAAUAAAAAAACAAAACAAACAAAAAACAGAAAACUAGCAAGUAUUGGUAAGGAUGUGGAGAAAUUUGGUGAUUUCUUAAUAAUUAUAGAAUGAUCACAUGACCCAGCAAUGCCACCCUUGGGUAUAUACUCCAAAGAAUUGAAAACAGGUGUUCAAAAAAACUUGUACACAAAUGUUCGUAACAGUUAUUCCCAAUUGCCAAAAUAUGGAAACAACACAAAUGUCCAUCGAUGGAUGAAUGGAUAACCAAAACAUGGUAUAGCCAUACAAUGGAAUAUUAUUUAGUCCUAAAGAAGAAUGAAGUACUUGUUUGAUAUCACUUAUAUAUGGAAUCUAAAAAAUACAACAAACUAGUGAAUAUAACAAAAAAGAAGCAGACUACAGGAAUAUAGGCGUGGGAGAGUGGGAGGUACAAACUACUGGCAUAAGAGAGGUGCAAGGACGCAUUGUACAACUUGAGGAAUGUAGCUAAUAUUUGGUAAUAACUGUAAACAGAAAGUAACCUUUCAAAAUUGUAUAAAAAGUUUUUUAAAAUAAGGAAUGAAAUACUGAUGUUUGCUACAACAUGGAUGGACCUUGACAACGUUAUGCAAAACAAAAGAAGCCAGGGCUUCCCUGGUGGCGCAGUGGUUGAGAAUCUGCCUGCCAAUGCAGGGGACACGGGUUCGAGCCCUGGUCUGGGAAGAUCCCGCAUGCCGCGGAGCGACUAAGCCCGUGAGCCACAAUUACUGAGCCUGCGCGUCUGGAGCCCGUGCUCUGCAACAGGAGAGGCCGCGAUAGUGAGAGGCCCGUGCACCGCGAUGAAGAGUGGCCCCCGCUUGCCGCAACUAGAGAAAGCCCUCGCAGAGAAACGAAGACCCAACACAGCCAUAAAUAAUAAAUAAAUAAAUUUAAAAAAAACAAAAAAACAAAAGAAGCCAGAAAAAGGGGUCACAUAUUGAAUGGUUCCAUUUAUGUGAAAUAUCCAGAAGAGGCAAAUCCAUAGAGACAGAAAUCAGAUUAGUAGUUGCCAAUGGUUAGGAGGAGGGGGUGUAUUAAUCAUGUGUUCUAUUUUCUGUAUUUUAUGAUGCUUUGACAUCUUGGGGCCUUGUGGACCCAGAGAGGGAUUGCCCCUCCCAGAGUCAGUGGAUUCUUGGAGAUAGCAAACAGCUUGCCUGAGGACAUCCCUUUGAUAUGCAAACCAACAAAUCCUGAGUGCAAACCCCAACCCUACUCAUUUUAUCAGUCUGGAACAUAGUCCCUUCCCUAAAUCACCCCAGGACCAGUUGCCAACUAGUGACCACCUCUACAGCCCUGGCUGCUCAAAGUGUUUCACUAUCUAACCUGAAGUUGGCUCAGCUUGCUUACCCUGCCCUGCCUUGCCUGUCCCACACAAACCACAAUAAAGGCUCCUGUCCACAUUUCCCCCUCUCUUCUGCCUCUUAACCACCCCUGGUACUUCCCUGUGUGGCCCUGCCUCCCGUUUCUAUGGAUCUGUGGGUAUAAAACCUUCAUCCUUCAUGACAGUCAUAUCUGUUUCUGUGUGUCUUCCCAUACCUAAUUGAAACAAAUCCCAGGUACAUUUUAAAACAGAGGAGAAUAGGAAGUGUUUAACAUGUAUACAGUGGCCAUUUGGGAUGAUAAAAAUAUUCUGGAAUUAGGUUGUGGUAAUGGCUGCACAACAUUGUGAAUGUGCUAAUUAUCUCUAAUGGUAAAUUUUAUUCUGUAUUUCUGUAUUUUGCAUUUCUACAUAGACAAUCAUGUCUGUGAAUAAAAAGUUUUCAUUCA